rnacentral:misc_RNA from 1 species
UUUUUUUUUUUUUUGGUUUAAUUUGUUGGUUGGGUCAGUUAUUAGAAUUGCUUAGGAUUGUGUAGCUUUUAGCUUUGAAAUGUUUUACAAGAUUCUUGUGGUAACUGCAAUAGUUUGAAAUUGUUUCUUUAUUUGAUAAUUUUGAAUUCUUCCACAUUAAAAUGGGUAAUUAUUCAUGAACCUUCUUUUCUCUUUCCAUUUUCUUGUGCAGCCAUUUAAGCAUAGUUUCAUGAAUUUGCAUGUCAAAGUCAUUAACCAUUGGGCAUUUCUGAUGUUACUCUGCAGUUUAUCAGUAGGGAAUGACUAAAAUUUUAGAAUAUUCUUAGCCAUUUUACUGAUUUAUAAUCAAGGAGGGAAAGGAGAAAAAGACCAUGGGAAUGUUUAAUGAAGUUCCACUCAGACUCACCAAAAUUUCUCUCCUAGGUUUGGGGGAAAGUUUUGAAAUUAUGGUAUUUUAUGCACGAGUUACAUGUUCAAAUCGAGACUUGAUUGCUUAAAAUGUUAUAACUUUUUGAUGGCGGACAUACAUGUAGAAGAUAAUAGUAAAGGCAUCUUUAACCGAAUCAGUUGAAUGGUUUUGUUAUUUGGAGAUUUCUUCAUCCUUUUCCAUCAAUGUGUGUGUGCUUUCUUGUUUCUAGAUUUUGUUAUGCAUUUGUAAUGCUGCUAUAGCAAUUUUUUCAGGUUAGCUUGACAUGGAUCCUACAAAGCAAACUUUCCCACACCGAACACUUUCUGUCAAAUUGUGGCCUCCUAGUCAGAGUACUAGGCUAAUG